rnacentral:snRNA from 1 species
GGAUGUGAGGGCAAUCUGGUUGUGACAUCUGUCACCCCAUUGAUCAUCAGGGUUGAUUCAGCUGAUCUAGCUGGCUAGGCCAGUGUCCCCUUCCUCCCUCAUGGCUCCAUGUGCGCCACCCGCCCCCCGCCCCCAGCUCCCCGCCAACCAAGGCUGCAUGCUCAGUUGAAGAGGACAACCAUCCCUGAUGGAGGAGGACUGCUCUUCGGUCAAGGGUAUACGAGUCGCUGUGCUCCCCUGCUAGAACCUUCAAGCAAGCUCUCAAGGAAUAAGUGGUAAUCUAAGGAUCAUUAACGUAUUUCCACAGUUACCUGAAGAGCAGAAGAGGAGGUUUGCCUCCUUUACGU